rfam:Metarhizium robertsii ARSEF 23 MAA_Scf_7, whole genome shotgun sequence.
GGGUGUGUGGUUUAGUGGUUAUAACAAUUAUGAAAUUAUCCUAGCCUAGUGCUAGGUCCUGGUAGCCAUCUGGUGCCAGCGUAAACAAUGAGAGGUCCGGGGUUCGAAUCCCUGCACAUCCA